GGGUUGUGAGGUUAAGCGACUAAGCGUACACGGUGGAUGCCCUGGCAGUCAGAGGCGAUGAAGGACGUGCUAAUCUGCGAUAAGCGUCGGUAAGGUGAUAUGAACCGUUAUAACCGGCGAUUUCCGAAUGGGGAAACCCAGUGUGUUUCGACACACUAUCAUUAACUGAAUCCAUAGGUUAAUGAGGCGAACCGGGGGAACUGAAACAUCUAAGUACCCCGAGGAAAAGAAAUCAACCGAGAUUCCCCCAGUAGCGGCGAGCGAACGGGGAGCAGCCCAGAGCCUGAAUCAGUGUGUGUGUUAGUGGAAGCGUCUGGAAAGGCGCGCGAUACAGGGUGACAGCCCCGUACACAAAAAUGCACAUGCUGUGAGCUCGAUGAGUAGGGCGGGACACGUGGUAUCCUGUCUGAAUAUGGGGGGACCAUCCUCCAAGGCUAAAUACUCCUGACUGACCGAUAGUGAACCAGUACCGUGAGGGAAAGGCGAAAAGAACCCCGGCGAGGGGAGUGAAAAAGAACCUGAAACCGUGUACGUACAAGCAGUGGGAGCACGCUUAGGCGUGUGACUGCGUACCUUUUGUAUAAUGGGUCAGCGACUUAUAUUCUGUAGCAAGGUUAACCGAAUAGGGGAGCCGAAGGGAAACCGAGUCUUAACUGGGCGUUAAGUUGCAGGGUAUAGACCCGAAACCCGGUGAUCUAGCCAUGGGCAGGUUGAAGGUUGGGUAACACUAACUGGAGGACCGAACCGACUAAUGUUGAAAAAUUAGCGGAUGACUUGUGGCUGGGGGUGAAAGGCCAAUCAAACCGGGAGAUAGCUGGUUCUCCCCGAAAGCUAUUUAGGUAGCGCCUCGUGAAUUCAUCUCCGGGGGUAGAGCACUGUUUCGGCAAGGGGGUCAUCCCGACUUACCAACCCGAUGCAAACUGCGAAUACCGGAGAAUGUUAUCACGGGAGACACACGGCGGGUGCUAACGUCCGUCGUGAAGAGGGAAACAACCCAGACCGCCAGCUAAGGUCCCAAAGUCAUGGUUAAGUGGGAAACGAUGUGGGAAGGCCCAGACAGCCAGGAUGUUGGCUUAGAAGCAGCCAUCAUUUAAAGAAAGCGUAAUAGCUCACUGGUCGAGUCGGCCUGCGCGGAAGAUGUAACGGGGCUAAACCAUGCACCGAAGCUGCGGCAGCGACGCUUAUGCGUUGUUGGGUAGGGGAGCGUUCUGUAAGCCUGUGAAGGUGUACUGUGAGGUAUGCUGGAGGUAUCAGAAGUGCGAAUGCUGACAUAAGUAACGAUAAAGCGGGUGAAAAGCCCGCUCGCCGGAAGACCAAGGGUUCCUGUCCAACGUUAAUCGGGGCAGGGUGAGUCGACCCCUAAGGCGAGGCCGAAAGGCGUAGUCGAUGGGAAACAGGUUAAUAUUCCUGUACUUGGUGUUACUGCGAAGGGGGGACGGAGAAGGCUAUGUUGGCCGGGCGACGGUUGUCCCGGUUUAAGCGUGUAGGCUGGUUUUCCAGGCAAAUCCGGAAAAUCAAGGCUGAGGCGUGAUGACGAGGCACUACGGUGCUGAAGCAACAAAUGCCCUGCUUCCAGGAAAAGCCUCUAAGCAUCAGGUAACAUCAAAUCGUACCCCAAACCGACACAGGUGGUCAGGUAGAGAAUACCAAGGCGCUUGAGAGAACUCGGGUGAAGGAACUAGGCAAAAUGGUGCCGUAACUUCGGGAGAAGGCACGCUGAUAUGUAGGUGAAGUCCCUCGCGGAUGGAGCUGAAAUCAGUCGAAGAUACCAGCUGGCUGCAACUGUUUAUUAAAAACACAGCACUGUGCAAACACGAAAGUGGACGUAUACGGUGUGACGCCUGCCCGGUGCCGGAAGGUUAAUUGAUGGGGUCAGCGCAAGCGAAGCUCUUGAUCGAAGCCCCGGUAAACGGCGGCCGUAACUAUAACGGUCCUAAGGUAGCGAAAUUCCUUGUCGGGUAAGUUCCGACCUGCACGAAUGGCGUAAUGAUGGCCAGGCUGUCUCCACCCGAGACUCAGUGAAAUUGAACUCGCUGUGAAGAUGCAGUGUACCCGCGGCAAGACGGAAAGACCCCGUGAACCUUUACUAUAGCUUGACACUGAACAUUGAGCCUUGAUGUGUAGGAUAGGUGGGAGGCUUUGAAGUGUGGACGCCAGUCUGCAUGGAGCCGACCUUGAAAUACCACCCUUUAAUGUUUGAUGUUCUAACGUUGACCCGUGAUCCGGGUUGCGGACAGUGUCUGGUGGGUAGUUUGACUGGGGCGGUCUCCUCCUAAAGAGUAACGGAGGAGCACGAAGGUUGGCUAAUCCUGGUCGGACAUCAGGAGGUUAGUGCAAUGGCAUAAGCCAGCUUGACUGCGAGCGUGACGGCGCGAGCAGGUGCGAAAGCAGGUCAUAGUGAUCCGGUGGUUCUGAAUGGAAGGGCCAUCGCUCAACGGAUAAAAGGUACUCCGGGGAUAACAGGCUGAUACCGCCCAAGAGUUCAUAUCGACGGCGGUGUUUGGCACCUCGAUGUCGGCUCAUCACAUCCUGGGGCUGAAGUAGGUCCCAAGGGUAUGGCUGUUCGCCAUUUAAAGUGGUACGCGAGCUGGGUUUAGAACGUCGUGAGACAGUUCGGUCCCUAUCUGCCGUGGGCGCUGGAGAACUGAGGGGGGCUGCUCCUAGUACGAGAGGACCGGAGUGGACGCAUCACUGGUGUUCGGGUUGUCAUGCCAAUGGCACUGCCCGGUAGCUAAAUGCGGAAGAGAUAAGUGCUGAAAGCAUCUAAGCACGAAACUUGCCCCGAGAUGAGUUCUCCCUGACUCCUUGAGAGUCCUGAAGGAACGUUGAAGACGACGACGUUGAUAGGCCGGGUGUGUAAGCGCAGCGAUGCGUUGAGCUAACCGGUACUAAUGAACCGUGAGGCUUAACCUUACAACGCCGAAGGUGUUU
rnacentral:rRNA from 1 species